UUUUGAAAAUGAAAAAAAAGUGGAAUUUAAUUAAUUAAAUUUUUUUUUUAUUUUUUUUUAUUUUUUUUUUUUGGAAAUGAUUGGCUAUGGCCCAAAUGGAAAAUAAAAAAGGAAAAAAAUUAAAAUAAGAAUUUUUUCAUUUCAUAAAGAUAAUGAUUGACUCAACCCAAUUAUUGUUUAAUAUUUUAAACUUAAAUUUAUAAUAAAAAAAAAAAAAAAAAAAAAAAAGAAAAAAAAUAAAAUUAAAAAAUAAAAUAAAAUAAAAAUAAAAAAUUAAGUUGUAAUGUGUUAUCAAAAAUUUUUUAUUUUUUUAUUGGGGUAAAAAAAAAAAAAAAAUAAAAAAAAAAUAAUUAAAAAUUAAAAACACACAUUAGUUGGGAUUUCAGAUAAUAAUAAAAUUUUUUUUACAUUAAUAACUGUUACAGAUAAUUUAUUUAAUUUUGAAUUAAAUUUAUUUUUUUAAUAAUUUUUUCAAAAACUAUUUAAGAGACAAAAUUUUUUUAUUUUGUUAUUCAAAAAUGUCAAAUAAAUAAAAAAAAAAAAAAAAAAAUAAAAAAAAAUUUAAUAAGUUUUAAAAUGGUAUAGUUUUAAUAAAAAAAAAAAAAAAACCACUAUCAUUAGUAGUAAAAAAAAAAUAAAAAAUAAAAAAAAAAAAAAUAAAAAAAAAUAAUAAUAAGCUAUACCAUGGGACUUAGAGAAAAUAAAAAAGUUUAAAAAAAAAAUAAAAAAUAAUAAAAAAUAAAAAAAAAAUAAAAAAAAAAACUUUUAAAACUCUCCUUCUACUUUUUGGUGCUUCUGUUAAGCUAAUGCUAAGGUGUCUCUCUCCCCCUUUGCUUUGCAUUACUCUCCUCAAGCUCAGAUAAUCUCGAGCUCCACUAACGAUGCUCCUCAAGUAUCCUCAGGGUUAAUCCAUCACAUUCCUAUGCAACUCUCUCAAAUGUAUAAGCAGUCUUUAACAAAAAAAAAUAUUUAAAAAAAAAAAAAAAAGAAAAAAAAAAAAUAUUAAAAUAUUUUUUUUAAAAUCAAUUUUAAAUAUAAAUAAUAAUGUUUUUUUUUUUUU